AUGAACCGUACAUGUGACAAACGGUCUGGUUUGGCAUGGCUAAGAAAAGCAAGCGAGGCCUUCGGAGUUGAGCGAGGGUAUCCCAAGUUUGAUAGACUAAAAGUAGAAAUACCUCUUAUGAUCAUGAGACAUUUCUAUUUAGCUGGAACCAAUGAAGAAAUUUCUCUAUACACAAGAGUGGUGCUGAGGCCAUUUACUACUUUAGGGAUUGAAUCAUCGAAAGCCACAGAAAAAAGGCAAACGAAUCUGCACAAAGGGAAGAAAAAUGAACGAAGAAACACUCAAUGCAAGCUGCUUCUUUGUCCUCCACCCUCAACGCGAUGGCGGCAAUUGGAGGAUUGA
rnacentral:rRNA from 1 species